rnacentral:rRNA from 1 species
AGUGAACGCUGGCGGUAGGCCUAACACAUGCAAGUCGAACGGCAGCACAGUAAGAGCUUGCUCUUACGGGUGGCGAGUGGCGGACGGGUGAGGAAUAUAUCGGAAUCUACUUUUUCGUGGGGGUUAACGUAGGGAAACUUACGCUAAUACCGCAUACGACCUACGGGUGAAAGCAGGGGAUCUUCGGACCUUGCGCGAUUGAAUGAGCCGAUGUCGGAUUAGCUAGUUGGCGGGGUAAAGGCCCACCAAGGCGACGAUCCGUAGCUGGUCUGAGAGGAUGAUCGGCCGCACUGGAGCUGGGACACGGACCAGACUCCUACGGGAGGCAGCAGUGGGGAAUAUUGGACAAUGGGCGCAAGCCUGAUCCAGCCAUACCGCGUGGGUGACGAAGGCCUUCGGGUUGUAAAGCCCUUUUGUUGGGAAAGAAAAGCAGCAGGUUAAUACCCCGCUGUUCUGACGGUACCCAAAGAAUAAGCACCGGCUAACUUCGUG